GGUUCGGUGGUGUAGUUGGUUAUCACAAUGGUUUAACAUUGGACCCACAUGGAAACAUGAGAUUCAUUGUCAACACCAUAGGUCCUCGGUUCAAGUCCGGGCCGAAUCA